GACGAACGCUGGCGGCGUGCUUAACACAUGCAAGUCGAACGGAAAGGCCCUGCUUUUGUGGGGUGCUCGAGUGGCGAACGGGUGAGUAACACGUGAGUAACCUGCCCUUGACUUUGGGAUAACUUCUGGAAACUGGGGCUAAUACCGGAUAGGAGCUCCUGCUGCAUGGUGGGGGUUGGUAAGUUUCGGCGGUUGGGGAUGGACUCGCGGGUUAUCCGCUUGAUGGUGGGGUAGUGGCUUACCAAGGCUUUGACGGGUAGCCGGCCUGGGAGGGUGACCGGGCACAUUGGGACUGAGAUACGGCCCAGACUCCUACGGGAGGCAACAGUGGGGAAUAUUGCACAAUGGGCGGAAGCCUGAUGCAGCAACGCCGCGUGCGGGAUGACGGCCUUCGGGUUGUAAACCGCUUUCGCCUGUGACGAAGCGGGAGUGACGGUAAUGGGUAAAGAAGCACCGGCUAACUACGUG
rnacentral:rRNA from 1 species